rnacentral:rRNA from 1 species
GUCCAGACUCCUACGGGAGGCAGCAGUGGGGGAUAUUGCACAAUGGGGGAAACCCUGAUGCAGCGACGCCGCGUGGGUGAAGAAGCGCCUCGGCGCGUAAAGCCCUGUCAGCAGGGAAGAAAAUGACGGUACCUGAAGAAGAAGCCCCGGCUAACUACGUGCCAGCAGCCGCGGUAAUACGUAGGGGGCAAGCGUUAUCCGGAUUUACUGGGUGUAAAGGGGGCGCAGACGGCGAUGCAAGCCAGGAGUGAAAGCCCGGGGCCCAACCCCGGGACUGCUCUGGAAACUGUAAAGCUGGAGUGCGGGAGGGGCAGGCGGAAUUCCUGGUGUAGCGGUGAAAUGCGUAGAUAUCAGGAGGAACACCGGCGGCGAAGGCGGCCUGCUGGACCGUGACUGACGUUGAGGCUCGAGAGCGUGGGGAGCAAACAGGAUUAGAUACCCUGGUAUG